GUGUCAGCAGCCGCGGUAAGACGAACCGUGCGAACGUUGUUCGGAAUCACUGGGCUUAAAGGGCGCGUAGGCGGGUUUGCAAGUCUGCGGUGAAAGCCUCCAGCUCAACUGGAGAAGUGCCGUGGAUACUGCGAAUCUCGAGGAGGGUAGGGGCGUCUGGAACGUUGGGUGGAGCGGUGAAAUGCGUUGAUAUCCAACGGAACUCCGGUGGCGAAGGCGAGGCGCUGGACCCUUUCUGACGCUGAGGCGCGAAAGCCAGGGGAGCGAACGGGAUUAGAAACCCCCGUAGUCC
rnacentral:rRNA from 1 species